rnacentral:lncRNA from 1 species
UUCUGUCAAGACAAAAAUGUACUAAAGUUCUGAAAUGGUAGGCAGGCCCCCAUUUAAAUGCUCUCAUUAAAAGGUCCAUCAUGGUCCUGAUGUCUCUUUCUAGCAAGAGAACACAGACUCAGACACUAUUCCAGGGCAUAUAGCCAAAGGCAUUAUCCUAAGACAGAGACCUGGGUGUGCUCAUGUUCCCUCCUGCUUUAUUCACAAUAGUCAGGACAUCAAAACAACCCAGACAUAAAUAUAACUGAUGAAGGAUAAUGAGUACAUGGUUCAUAUACACAAUGGUAAUGAACUAUGACAACAUAAAUGAAAUUUACAGGUUAAUGGAUGGAGACAUGAAUAAUAUUUUUGAGUGAUAUAACCCAGACCCAAAAAGACAAAUACCACAUCAUGUGUCUUAUGUGGAUGGUAACAUUGAAUGUCUAGAGAUGUGCAUUUAAACUGCAGUAUCCAUAGAAGGUAAUGCACUAGUGUUGGGUUAUAGGAGGAUAUUUCAAGAAAAUAAUAGAACACAUAAUUUGUGAAGGAGAAAAAGGAAAACAGUAGGACAGAGUGAGGUAAAUGUCUUGGGAGAUUGCAUAGGAGUGUGGUGGCUUGAAUAUGGGAGUGGUACUUUUAGGAGUUGUGGCCUUGUUAGAAACAGUGUGUCAGUGUGGAGGGUAGGCAUUGAAACCCGCAUACUAAACAUAUGUCCUGGUGUCUCCUCACAUCAAUAAAUCUCAGACUAACACCUGGGACAGUAGACUACCAUGUCCAGAAUUUGGUAAAGUUGAGUGGGUUGGAAGUCCCAGACCCACAGUAGAUGGCAAAAGUGUCACCUGCUUCCUACCAGGCCUCUUUCAUGGAACCAAAAUCUCUAUAUAGGAACAUGGCCUGUGGUUAUUUAGAAGAGAAUAGGGUUCUCCCUGCUAAUGAGGUAAUAGAAGAUGGUAGGGUUCAGUCAAUAAGCUUCCCUUCCUGGACAUUCCUUCCUCAGAAGUUACUUAACUUCUAGUCUAACCUUAAGACAUGUUAUGCUUUCAUUUCCAUGAAAAACAAUCAAUAAACAGUUUACAACCAAGGACUGUCUCUCUCAUCAAACCAACUGUGGGUUACAUGGAGAAAAAGCCUUUGCCUACAGAGUCUUGCCAUCUAAGUCUCCAUCAGAAGGCCCCUCAAUACUCCUGGGCUAGUCACCUCUGAGCUAAUCCAGAAUUCCCCAUUCCCUGAUUUCAGGGCUAGUUCUUAGCCUGCUGGCCUCCUCCAUGCUCAGCUCCUCUGAGACUUCUAGCAGUGCCUGCAUGUCCAAGAUUCUGAGAACCCCUUGCCCAGUUAUCCUUGCAGGCCAGCAGGGUCAAACCUGCUGUGAACUCUCUGCAACCCAGCACUGUCUGGAUGUCCAGGAUUUUGUGGGUCCCUGUCCCCAGACUCCUAAACAUAGGCCCGUGGAAUUCAGAACAAUAUACUACCCAAUGAAAAGCCCAGGGCCAAGAUUGGAUUAUCUUGUUUUGGGUUGCUCAUCAUUGAGUCUCAAACACUGUCCCCAAUCAUUAAAGACUACUGCCAUUUCCUUCCUUCUUUUCUGGAAGAUAAUGGUAAAAACACAUUGCUGAAGAAGAUGGUAUCUGGCACAGGCAUCAAUUCAGGGAUCUAUCUCAUUAUUUUCUGUGUGUUGAGAACAUAUUUAUCACUCUUUUGCAGUUACUUGGAGAUAUUUGGCCCAUUACAACCCACCAAAUUUCUAUAGACGUGGUAAUCCCUUGGUAGCUAAGAUUGCAACUCCCUGUCCCCCAUCACCCUCCCAACAUCUGUCUUAAGAUCUGGCAACUGUUAUUCUAAUUUCAGCUUCUCUAAGUGGGCUAAACUGAAGAGGGAGCCCAGGGCCUCAUGUAUACCAAGCAGCAAACACUACAGGAGAAUACACUGUACUUCACCACAACACACUGCACCACACCACACUACAGUAUACUAUACUAGAGAACCCCCAGUCCUCCUGUUUCUCUGAGAUCAACUUUCUUUCUUAACCCUUUCUCAGCCUUCCUGCAUGGAUUAUCUGCCCAAACAAGGUGAAUGUAGUAAACGAAAGUGAACAUUUUCUACUUUCAUAAUCCACAUUGAAAUUUACUGUGAACUCUGUGCAGAGUUCAUGACCACCAGGAACACCUGGCCGCCCUUCUCCCCAUUGUCACUUACUGGGUUCCCUCUCCAUUUUUUCUGUUCUCUUUCUAAUCUGAGGAUACAGCCUUGGAUACUCAGAUUUUGGGUACUUUGUCCUUUCCUUCAGACCUCUGUAUUUAGGACUCUGUGCAUCAGGCUGAGUACUUAGUAGAGCUGUUUCUAACUCUGCAUCAACAGAUACUCACAAGAGCUUCUGGCCCUCAGACAGGUGGUUCUUCAAAGCUUUAGAGAAGAGAUGUGACUCUGAAGAACACCCUGACUCCUGCAGACGGAUGGCUGCUGAACAAACUCCAUGACUAGUUGUCCCAGGAGGGUUUUGGGACUCCUCCAAAUCUGGCUGCACUGCAGCUUCUCCUAGAAUUCAAUGUGGAUGCCUUACAGGUUAAGAGGAUCAGUCAAGUACCAACAAGGUGGCCACAUGGACGCAUCCAGAAAGGCAUGGUACAGGAGAAGCUGAGAGUCCUACAUGUUCAUGUGAAGGCUGCUAAUAGAACAUUAAUGUCCAGACAGCUAGGGUGAGGGUUUUGACCACACACACAGUGCCCCAUAUACUCAAACUUGGCCACUCCUUCUUAUGUUGCCACUCAGUGGGUUGAGCAUAUAAAAACCAUAACAAAUAUUGAUGCAAAAAUACUCAAUAACAUCUUGGAAACUGUUUCUAAUAACACAUGCAAAUGAUCACUCACCAUGACCCAAUACGCAUCAUGUAUAGGAUGUAAGAAUGAUUCAGUGUUUUGGAAUUCAUCAAAGUAAUAUACUAUGUAAUAAAUUUAAGAAAUUAUUAUUUGAUCAUCUCAUUAGAUACUCUAUCAUCCCAGGGAUGCAGGAAUGAUUCAAUAUAUGGACAUCCAUCAAUGUAAUCCACUAUAUAAAAUAACUUAAAAUAUAUUGGAUAAUCUCAUCAGAUGCCGAAAAAGUGUUUGACAAAAUACAAUAUAACUUCAAGAUAAAUGCAUUGGAGGAAUCAGAAAGUCACGUUUCAGAAAGAAAUGAGCAAAAUAGAGCAACCCAGUUGCCAACAUCAAAAUAUAUGGAGAAAAAUUUGAAGCCAUCCCAUUAAAAUCAGAGACAAGGAAAGACUUCCCCCUCUUCCCCUACGUAUUGAACAUAGUCUUUGACAUUUUAGCCAGAGCAAUCAGGCAAAAAUGCCGAUCAAAGUGAUACAAAUUGGAAGGGAGGAAUUCAAGACACUACAAUUUGAGGAGUAUGGAAUAUUACACAUAAGUGAGCUCAAAAAAAUCCAGGAGAGAACUCCUACAGCUGAUAAACCACUUCAGCAAAGUCAAUGGAUACAAAAUUAACUCAAACAAUCCAGGAACUUUCCUCUACUCAAAGGAUAAUUAUCCUGAGGAAGAGAUUUUUUAAAACUACAUACUUCACAAUAGUCACAAACAAUAUCUUGGUGUGCCUCGAACAAAGCAAGGGAAAGAUAAUAAUGAAUGACAAGAACAUUAAGUCUCUGAACAAAGAAAACAAAGAAGACCUUAGAAGAUGGAAAGAUCUCCCAUGGUCAUUGAUGAGCAGGAUUAAUAUAGUAAAAAAGGUCCAUCUUGCCAGAAGCAAUCUACGGAUUCAAUGCAAUCCCCAUCACAAUUCCAACUCAUUCCUUCACAGAGAUAGAAAAAGCAAUUCUCAAAUUUAUCUGAAAUAACAUAAACCCAGUAUAGCAAAAACUAUUCCUAACAAUAAAAGAAUGGUUCAGGAAAUCACCAUCCCUGAUCUCAAAAUAUACCACAGGGCAAGUGAUAAAAAUGUCAUGUUUCUGGUAUAGAGAGACAAGUAGACCAACAGAAUAGAAUUGAAGACCUAGAAAUGAACCUACAUUCAUAUGGUCACUUGAUCUUUGUCAAAGGAGCCAAAACCAUCCAGUGGAUAAAAGACAGCAUUUUCAACAAUUGGUGCUUGUUCAACUGGCAGUCUGCAUAUAGAAGAAUGCAAAUUGAUGUAUUCUUAUCUCCUUGUACAAAGCUCUAGUCCAAGUCACUCAAGGACCUCCACGGAAAACAAGAUACAUUGAAUCUAAUACAAGAGAGAGCAGUAAAGAACCUCAAACACAUUGUCACAGGGGAAAUGUUCCUGUACAGGACACCAAUGGCUCAUGCUGUAGGACCAAAAACAGUGUCAAAUGGGACCCCAUAAAAUUGAAAAGCUUUGUAAGUCAAAGGAUGCUGUCAAAAGGACAAAAUUGCACACACAUAUAGGGAAAACUUCUGUACCAACUCUACAUCUGAUAGAGGGCUAAUAUCC